UACGUAGGGGGCUAGCGUUGUCCGGAAUCAUUGGGCGUAAAGAGCGUGUAGGCGGCCCGGUAAGUCCGCUGUGAAAGUCGGGGGCUCAACCCUCGGAUGCCGGUGGAUACUGUCGGGCUCGAGUACGGAAGAGGCGAGUGGAAUUCCUAGUGUAGCGGUGAAAUGCGCAGAUAUCAGGAGGAACACCUAUUGCGAAGGCAGCUCGCUGGGACGUUACUGACGCUGAGACGCGAAAGCGUGGGGAGCAAACAGG
rnacentral:rRNA from 1 species